UACGUAGGGCGCAAGCGUUGUCCGGAAUUAUUGGGCGUAAAGAGCUCGUAGGCGGCCUGUUACGUCUGCUGUGAAAUCCCGGGGCUUAACCCCGGGCGUGCAGUGGAUACGGGCAGGCUGGAGGCAGGCAGGGGAGAACGGAAUUCCCGGUGUAGCGGUGAAAUGCGCAGAUAUCGGGAGGAACACCGGUGGCGAAGGCGGUCCUCUGGGCCUGUACUGACGCUGAGGAGCGAAAGCGUGGGGAGCGAACAGG
rnacentral:rRNA from 1 species